ACAGAAAAGGCCCUACUUGACAGCUCGUUCGAAGGGGACCAAAGUUGAUCCAUCGAAAAAAUGUUGUCUUGUCAAAUUUUUUUUUGCAUUAAAAUGAAAAAAAGUGAUCAGAAAUGGUUUUUGAUCGUGUUUUUUAACGUUGUCGAUAAAAAUUGACAUAGGGCUUUAGCACCCAAUUAAAAAAAAUUAAAAUAUAAAUAUAUGGAGCCUAACAUUUCAAAAGGGCAAUAUUAUUAUAGUUUACAUAAGGUGUGAAAGGGACACACUCUUGUCUAAAAAAGUUAUGUGCCCUAAUGAAAUGGCAAGCACGAUAUAUAAAUUUCUGAAUUAUUUCAUUUUCCAUACGUAAUGUGUGAAUGGCCCCGCGCGCAGAAACGUCAAAACAAACGCGAUGCGCGAUGUGCAAGUAAAAAGAAAAGCGCUUGCAAGUAAAAGGGUUGCGCUUGGUCGAAGGAGCUACACAAUUUUGAAAACUUGCCCAAAAUUAAACCUGGGUCAUCAUUUGACGAAAGCGAUGCUGCUAUUUCAAACUGAGGAAAAGAUUACUUUUGCAGACCAAAUCGAUUUUAAUUGGUUUGAUUCAACUUCAGUGCAUAACGGAUUAGGGCAAUAGAUCGAUCGAAUUGAACUUCCAUUCGGCCAAAACCACGAUCCAGACCUUUCUGAAAUGAUCAAGCCAACUUUAACAGGGAACCUGGAAACAGAAUCGCGUGGAUUUCUUCGGAGAAAGUGGAGCAUUUCGCAGCAUGUUUUUGUUUGUUGAACUCAAGAACAACAAGAUCAUAAGCAUAAGCAUAGGUGCCCACCCGCAGUUACUACUCCGUUAUUGACCAGGACCUCCAGAAGUUUCAUCCACGAGCCGUGGAAGAUAAGUGGGAGCUAUCUUUCCUCGCUUCGCAACUUCUCAAAGGCCCCUAUCAUGCUGAUCAAUACCGGCGCCGGCCACGACCAGUGGUAGGGUCACGGGGAAGUGGAUGGGAAUGUUAGUCCGAUACUUGAGUGAUAGAGACCGCCCAAUCGACUGCAUCUCCGACAAAGUAUCACAUGAGUUUUGAGGGGGUUA